rnacentral:rRNA from 1 species
UAGGGAAUCUUCGGCAAUGGACGAAAGUCUGACCGAGCAACGCCGCGUGAGUGAAGAAGGUUUUCGGAUCGUAAAACUCUGUUGUUAGAGAAGAACAAGGACGUUAGUAACUGAACGUCCCCUGACGGUAUCUAACCAGAAAGCCACGGCUAACUACGUGCCAGCAGCCGCGGUAAUACGUAGGUGGCAAGCGUUGUCCGGAUUUAUUGGGCGUAAAGCGACCGCAGGCGGUUUCUUAAGUCUGAUGUGAAAGCCCCCGGCUCAACCGGGGAGGGUCAUUGGAAACUGGGAGACUUGAGUGCAGAAGAGGAGAGUGGAAUUCCAUGUGUAGCGGUGAAAUGCGUAGAUAUAUGGAGGAACACCAGUGGCGAAGGCGGCUCUCUGGUCUGUAACUGACGCUGAGGCUCGAAAGCGUGGGGAGCAAACAGG